rnacentral:snoRNA from 1 species
GGCACUUGAGUCUGUUUUUGUCUAACUUGUGAACUAAGGUUUAUGGAUGGGUGAAAAAAAAAAUCCUCUUUUGCAACCCAGAACACAUUUUCCAAUUUGAGUUUUGACACAUAUAAGAAGGAAUAUU